UACGUAGGCAGCAAGCGUUGUUCGGAAUUAUUGGGCGUAAAGAGCUUGUAGGCGGUCUGUCGCGUCUGCUGUGAAAAUCCGGGGCUCAACCCCGGACUUGCAGUGGGUACGGGCAGACUAGAGUGUGGUAGGGGAGACUGGAAUUCCUGGUGUAGCGGUGAAAUGCGCAGAUAUCAGGAGGAACACCGGUGGCGAAGGCGGGUCUCUGGGCAGUAACUGACGCUGAGGAGCGAAAGCGUGGGGAGCGAACAGG
rnacentral:rRNA from 1 species